rnacentral:rRNA from 1 species
ACGGCUCAGUAACACGUGGAUAACCUGCCCUUGGGACCGGCAUAACCCCGGGAAACUGGGGAUAAUUCCGGAUAACGCACAUAUGCUGGAAUGCUUUAUGCGUGAAAUGGAUUCGUCUGCCCAAGGAUGGGUCUGCGGCCUAUCAGGUAGUAGUGGGUGUAAUGGACCUACUAGCCUACAACGGGUACGGGUUGUGAGAGCAAGAGCCCGGAGAUGGAUUCUGAGACAUGAAUCCAGGCCCUACGGGGCGCAGCAGGCGCGAAAACUUUACAAUGCGGGAAACCGUGAUAAGGGGACACCGAGUGCCAGCAUCAUAUGCUGGCUGUCCAGGUGUGUAAAAUACACCUGUUAGCAAGGGCCGGGCAAGACCGGUGCCAGCCGCCGCGGUAACACCGGCGGCCCGAGUGGUGAUCGUGAUUAUUGGGUCUAAAGGGUCCGUAGCCGGUUUGGUCAGUCCUCCGGGAAAUCUGACGGCUCAACCGUUAGGCUUUCGGGGGAUACUGCCAGGCUUGGAACCGGGAGAGGUAAGAGGUACUACAGGGGUAGGAGUGAAAUCUUGUAAUCCCUGUGGGACCACCUGUGGCGAAGGCGUCUUACCAGAACGGGUUCGACGGUGAGGGACGAAAGCUGGGGGCACGAACCGGAUUAGAUACCCGGGUAGUCCCAGCCGUAAACGAUGCUCGCUAGGUGUCAGGCAUGGCGCGACCGUGUCUGGUGCCGCAGGGAAGCCGUGAAGCGAGCCACCUGGGAAGUACGGCCGCAAGGCUGAAACUUAAAGGAAUUGGCGGGGGAGCAC